rnacentral:rRNA from 1 species
GACGAACGCUGGCGGCGUGCUUAACACAUGCAAGUCGAACGGAAAGGCCCUGCUUUUGUGGGGUGCUCGAGUGGCGAACGGGUGAGUAACACGUGAGUAACCUGCCCUUGACUUUGGGAUAACUUCAGGAAACUGGGGCUAAUACCGGAUAGGAGCUCCUGCUGCAUGGUGGGGGUUGGAAAGUUUCGGCGGUUGGGGAUGGACUCGCGGCUUAUCAGCUUGUUGGUGGGGUAGUGGCUUACCAAGGCUUUGACGGGUAGCCGGCCUGAGAGGGUGACCGGCCACAUUGGGACUGAGUGACGGCCCAGACUCCUACGGGAGGCAGCAGUGGGGAAUAUUGCACAAUGGGCGGAAGCCUGAUGCAGCAACGCCGCGUGCGGGAUGACGGCCUUCGGGUUGUAAACCGCUUUCGCCUGUGACGAAGCGUGAGUGACGGUAAUGGGUAAAGAAGCACCGGCUAACUACGU